CGCCCAUUCACCUACGCGGCAACUGCCGGAAGACAAGCUCGCAUUCCCAACAGCGUCACGACAAGACCAUGUGUGUGUGUGUGUGUGUGCGUGCCGUUGCUCUUCAAGCUGAAUGGGUUUGCGGGAGCAGCGGCCGGACGGCAAAGCAUGAUGAUACCCUAUUUGUUCUAUUCAACCGAACGCACUCGCCAGUACACGCCCUCGCACACGCACUCGUUUGUGUGUGCGCGCCGGUGUGUGCUGGCGUGUGUGCAUGAUCGAACAGCCUCUUAGCAAUACGUAUCGAGAAUCUGAUGGUCUUUCCCUUGCCCGCGCUGCUGCUGCGCCGCUCUCCUCCUUCGCCUCGUUUUUUCUUUCUGUGGGCGUUCUUGAACUCGUUAGCAUUUGUCCUUGCCGUGACUGCGGAGUAGGGUCGCCGUCGACAAGGAACUACAACUCUCUGGAUUCCUCGAGUCGUUCAAUUCUCGUGCAAUCCUCAUCGGUUGUCGAAGAGACAGAGGGGUCGGGCACGCAAACGUGAAAGUACGGUGGAGACGACGACUGGCCGUGUACGUGCGUUCGUUGGAACAGUGGGGUCCGGGUUUGGUGGAAAGUGCCAACGCUAGAUGACAUCAUGUGGAGGGGAGGUGAGUGACGCCGCCUCACGGCUGCUCUUUUCCGUCGGUGGUACUGAAAACAACAGGACUUCCUUCGGUGUGCAACAGCUGCACUGCGGUAAGCGAAGCGCGCAACAAUGGAGGGAGUGUUUCACGCGGCGAGCAGCGCGAAAGGGGGAAUGGGGCAGGUUGCAGGCUCUUCUCCGCGCGGGUGAUUACCCGGAAAGAGAGGAUAUAUAUGUAUAUAUAUGUAUGUGGACGUCUGUGUGCCCGCGAAAAUCUGCUUCGCGAAGUUGGAGCUUCCACAUAUGAUGUUGGAUGUGUCGGAGAUUCCGCCGCACAUACAUGGCGGUGACGCAGCAGAGGAUGAUGAUACUCUACUUGCUCACGUGAGAAGAGAUGUGCACGGCAUCCCCACCUCUUCUGCGGCUCCGCGCAGACCGCAAGAUGGGCGGAAGCAUUGCUUAACAGAUGAGCUCCAUAGCAAUACGUAUCGAGAACCUGACGUCGCUGCGAUGUACUCCUCGAUUCCGUACAGGUGACUGUGGCCGCUGUCAAACUACAACUCUCUGGAUCCCUUGGGCCAUUUCUCGUUCCCAGUGCGAUCCUCAUCAGUUGUCGAAGAAGGGGGUCUGGUAAAGGUGCUCUUAAGCUCUUUUGAAGCAGGGAAACAAAGGUCGGCCCUCUUCAUGAGAGGCACCCCACGAGGGCGUCAGCGUGUUGCACAUUCUCUCUCUGUCUCUCUGUGCGUGUGUGUUGGAGGGGGGAGGGAGCCACGCAGCCCCUCCCCCUAACCCUAUCCCUCUGCCGAAUGCCGAGCCACGUCUGAUGGGCGACAAGGUCAUGUACCUACGGCGCAGGGAAAGUCUGAGCGAUGCAUCGCUGCGGAUGUCGGCGGGUCAGGUCGUGGACGGCGUGGUCGCCGAAGCGACCUGCGGCAGGGAAGAGGCUCGCAGGAUCCACAUGAUGGGUAAAGCGCGAACACCACUCGAGCGUGCACCCCAUCCCCUGGCCCCUUACACCACCUACUGGUCAGGGGAGCCGGAGUGCCACCUCCGAGGGGAUGCAUCGUGUGGCGACCGACAUGAGCGGUGAGGCUCUGGGGCGGCCUGCGAAGCGGGUGGGUGAGCUGCGGUCAAGGCAGAGCCCAUGCUUGGAUGACUAGGCCGUCGCAUUGCUGUAGCACACGUGUGUCUUCGGCUGCUUCGCACCACGUCACGGACCUGUGGCAGGCCGGGGGUGGGGGUGUUAGAGCGGUGCUCGACUUGUGUGCUAGGGCAGAAGGAAUAUUCUCUGAAAGAAAGAGGUGAAAGCAGUGGGACUUUGCUGCUCUUGCCUGCUUCUGUGCCCGGAACUUGAGCUGUGUGCCGGUUUUUUGGUGCUGGUGAGUGUAGCCGACGACGUCUGUGUGCUGCGCGAGAACGGCUUGUCGCUCUCCUGUGCGCUUUUCACUGUAAUAGUCGGCAAGAAAAAGAGAGGCAGAGAUGUCUGCGUGAGUGCGUUGCACCGCUGUUGAGUUGACGCGUUCCUCCGGAGCUUCGUGGAAUGUGCGUCGUGCAGAAGGGACGGGAGCGCCCAAAGUCUUCUUUGCUGCCAACGGGCCUCGUGCGGUAUGCAGCAUGGAAGCUCAACUCCGGUCCGAGCCCAAGGUGUCGCCAAAGACCACCCGUGCCGUUGAGGCGUGCGUGCCUGCCCGACGAUCAAGGAG
rnacentral:misc_RNA from 1 species